AACGAACGCUGGCGGCAGGCUUAACACAUGCAAGUCGAACGCCCCGCAAGGGGAGUGGCAGACGGGUGAGUAACGCGUGGGAACGUGCCCUUCGCUUCGGAAUAGCCCCGGGAAACUGGGAGUAAUACCGGAUACGCCGUAUUGGGAAAGAUUUAUCGGCGAAGGAUCGGCCCGCGUUAGAUUAGCUAGUUGGCGGUGUAAUGGACCACCAAGGCUACGAUCUAUAGCUGGUCUGAGAGGAUGAUCAGCCACACUGGGACUGAGACACGGCCCAGACUCCUACGGGAGGCAGCAGUGGGGAAUCUUGGACAAUGGGCGCAAGCCUGAUCCAGCCAUGCCGCGUGAGUGAAGAAGGCCUUAGGGUUGUAAAACUCUUUCGCCGGAGAAGAUAAUGACGGUAUCCGGAGAAGAAGCCCCGGCUAACUUCGUGCUAGCCGCCGCGGUAACAC
rnacentral:rRNA from 1 species